CAAGCCGGAACUUUACAGUUCUUCUACCGCGUCCAUAAUUCUGAAUUAGAUGGCGGUAGGAAGAUAUCUGACACUGCGAUAACUAUAAUCACUGUGUUGGGGGCAUGCCUCUUGGUGGUAUCUAUAUGUCUGCUACGGAGAUACAAGAAGAAAGUUAAACGUUUACCAGUAGUUUCAUCGAUUCCGUGUUGCAAGGAGGAUGAUGUAGCAGUUUUUAAUGAGUCCAAGACCAAAGAUUUUUCGGCAGAUCUAUCGGGACCAACCAACAUACUUCUCAAUGGGAGUCAAGUAAACGGACCGGAAUUAACAAUUGUUACCUUUGGUAGUGUGGCAGCUGCAACAAAGAACUUCAGUGAAGCAAACAAGCUUGGGAAGGGUGGUUUUGGAACAGUAUACAAGGGAGAGUUGCCCGGAGGCCAAGAAAUAGCGGUGAAG